rnacentral:rRNA from 1 species
GACGAACGCUGGCGGCGUGCUUAACACAUGCAAGUCGAACGGAAAGGCCCUGCUUUUGUGGGGUGCUCGAGUGGCGAACGGGUGAUUAACACGUGAGUAACCUGCCCUUGACUUUGGGAUAACUUCAGGAAACUGGGGCUAAUACCGGAUAUGAGCUCCUGCUGCAUGGUGGGGGUUGGAAAGUUUCGGCGGUUGGGGAUGGACUCGCGGCUUAUCAGCUUGUUGGUGGGGUAGUGGCUUACCAAGGCUUUGACGGGUAGCCGGCCUGAGAGGGUGACCGGCCACAUUGGGACUGAGAUACGGCCCAGACUCCUACGGGAGGCAGCAGUGGGGAAUAUUGCACAAUGGGCGGAAGCCUGAUGCAGCAACGCCGCGUGCGGGAUGACGGCCUUCGGGUUGUAAACCGCUUUCGCCUGUGACGAAGCGUGAGUGACGGUAAUGGGUAAAGAAGCACCGGCUAACUACGUG